rnacentral:tRNA from 2 species
GGGGAAUUAGCUCAGUAGGCUAGAGCGCUUGCUUUGCACGCAGGAGGUCAUCGGUUCGAUUCCGAUAUUCUCCA